rnacentral:rRNA from 1 species
AUUGAACGCUGGCGGCAUGCCUUACACAUGCAAGUCGAACGGCAGCACGGGAGCAAUCCUGGUGGCGAGUGGCGAACGGGUGAGUAAUAUAUCGGAACGUGCCCGGUCGUGGGGGAUAACGUAGCGAAAGCUACGCUAAUACCGCAUACGAUCUACGGAUGAAAGCGGGGGAUCGCAAGACCUCGCGCGAUUGGAGCGGCCGAUAUCAGAUUAGGUAGUUGGUGAGGUAAAGGCUCACCAAGCCGACGAUCUGUAGCUGGUCUGAGAGGACGACCAGCCACACUGGGACUGAGACACGGUCCAGACUCCUACGGGAGGCAGCAGUGGGGAAUAUUGGACAAUGGGCGAAAGCCUGAUCCAGCAAUGCCGCGUGAGUGAUGAAGGCCUUAGGUUGUAAAGCUNUUUACCCGAGAUGAUAAUGACAGUAUCGGGAGAAUAAGCUCCGGCUAACUCCGUGCCAGCAG